rnacentral:rRNA from 1 species
GUUGAAGCGACGGUAAGACGUCGUGGAGGACCGAACCCACUUAGGUUGAAAACUGAGGGGAUGAGCUGUGGAUAGGGGUGAAAGGCCAAUCAAACUUCGUGAUAGCUGGUUCUCUCCGAAAUGCAUUUAGGUGCAGCGUUGCGUGUUUCUUGCCGGAGGUAGAGCUACUGGAUGGCCGAUGGGCCCUACAAGGUUACUGACGUCAGCCAAACUCCGAAUGCCGGUAAGUGAGAGCGCAGCAGUGAGACUGUGGGGGAUAAGCUUCAUAGUCGAGAGGGAAACAACCCAGACCACCAACUAAGGUCCCAAAGCGCGUGCUAAGUGGGAAAGGAUGUGGAGUUGCUUUGACAACCAGGAGGUUGGCUUAGAAGCAGCCACCCUUGAAAGAGUGCGUAAUAGCUCACUGGUCAAGUGAUUCCGCGCCGACAAUGUAACGGGGCUCAAGCACGCCACCGAAGUUGUGGCAUUGAUAUUAUUGGUAGGCCUUCGUGGUCCAGCCGUAUUGAUGGGUAGGAGAGCGUCGUGUGGCCAGUGAAGCGGCGGGGUGACCCAGCCGUGGAGGCUACACGAGUGAGAAUGCAGGCAUGAGUAGCGAAAGACAUGUGAGAAACAUGUCCUCCGAAAGACCAAGGGUUCCAGGGUCAAGCUAAUCUUCCCUGGGUAAGUCGGGACCUAAGGCGAGGCCGACAGGCGUAGUCGAUGGACAACGGGUUGAUAUUCCCGUACCGGCGAAGAACCGCCCAAGCUAAUCCAGUGGUGCUAAGUGCCUGAAUCCUAGUGACUGAUCCCUUCGGGGUGACGCUCUGGGCCUAGCGCACGACCCCAUGCUGGUGCGGUUAGCGUAUUAACAGGUGUGACGCAGGAAGGUAGCCCAAGCCAGGCGAUGGUUGUCCUGGUGCAAGUGCGUAGGCCGAGUGAUAGGCAAAUCCGUCACUCAUACAGGCUGAGACACGAUGCGGAUAAAAAGUGGGUGAUCCUAUGCUGCCAAGAAAAGCAUCGACGCGAGGUUCUAGCUGCCCGUACCCCAAACCGACUCAGGUGGUCAGGUAGAGAAUACUAAGGAGAUCGAGAGAAUCGUGGUUAAGGAACUCGGCAAAAUGCCCCCGUAACUUCGGGAGAAGGGGGGCCUUCGGCGUAUAGGGAUUUACUCCCAAAAAGCGUUUGGAGGCCGCAGAGACUAGUGGGUAGCGACUGUUUACUAAAAACACAGGUCCGUGCCAAGUCGCAAGACGAUGUAUACGGACUGACGCCUCCCCGGUGCUGGAAGGUUAAGAGGACCGGUUAGCCGUAAGGCGAAGCUGAGAAUUUAAGCCCCAGUAAACGGCGGUGGUAACUAUAACCAUCCUAAGGUAGCGAAAUUCCUUGUCGGGUAAGUUCCGACCUGCACGAAUGGCGUAACGACUUCCCAACUGUCUCAACCGCGAACUCGGCGAAAUUGCAUUACGAGUAAAGAUGCUCGUUACGCGCAGCAGGACGGAAAGACCCCGUGACCUUUACUAUAGUUUGGUAUUGGUGUUCGGUGUGGCUUGUGC